AGUGAACGCUGGCGGUAGGCCUAACACAUGCAAGUCGAACGGCAGCACAGGAGAGCUUGCUCUCUGGGUGGCGAGUGGCGGACGGGUGAGGAAUACAUCGGAAUCUGCCCAGUCGUGGGGGAUAACGUAGGGAAACUUACGCUAAUACCGCAUACGACCUUCGGGUGAAAGAGGGGGAUCGCAAGACCUCUCGCGAUUGGAUGAGCCGAUGUCGGAUUAGCUAGUUGGCGGGGUAAUGGCCCACCAAGGCGACGAUCCGUAGCUGGUCUGAGAGGAUGAUCAGCCACACUGGAACUGAGACACGGUCCAGACUCCUACGGGAGGCAGCAGUGGGGAAUAUUGGACAAUGGGCGCAAGCCUGAUCCAGCCAUACCGCGUGGGUGAAGAAGGUCUUCGGGUUGUAAAGCCCUUUUGUUGGGAAAGAAAUCUUUCAGGCUAAUACCCUGGGAGGAUGACGGUACCCAAAGAAUAAGCACCGGCUAACUUCGUG
rnacentral:rRNA from 1 species